rnacentral:rRNA from 1 species
GAUGAACGCUGGCGGCGUGCCUAAUACAUGCAAGUCGAACGAGGUGCCUUUGUAGCAAUACGAGGGUAUCCUAGUGGCGAACGGGUGAGUAACGCGUUGGUGACCUGCCCCGAAGUGUGGGAUAACAGUUCGAAAGGACUGCUAAUACCGCAUGCGGUCAUCGGGUUUAGAAGCCGAUGACCAAAGCAGCAAUGCGCUUUGGGAGGGACCUGCGUCCCAUCAGCUAGUUGGUAGGGUAACGGCCUACCAAGGCGACGACGGGUAGGGGACCUGAGAGGGUGACCCCCCACAAUGGAACUGAAACACGGUCCAUACACCUACGGGUGGCAGCAGUAGGGAAUAUUGCACAAUGGGCGAAAGCCUGAUNNNNCAACGCCGCGUGCACGAUGAAGGUCUUCGGAUCGUAAAGUGCUUUUCUGGGAGAUGAGAAAGGACAGUAUCCCAGGAAUAAGUCUCGGCUAACUACGUGCCAGCAGCCGCGGUAAAACGUAGGAGGCAAGCGUUAUCCGGAUUCACUGGGCGUAAAGCGCGUGCAGGCGGUUCGGUAAGUUGGGCGUGAAAUCUCCUGGCUUAACUUGGAGAGGUCGUCCAAUACUACCGGACUAGAGAACAGUAGAGGAAGAUGGAAUUCNCGGUGUAGUGGUGAAAUGCGUAGAUAUC